rnacentral:rRNA from 2 species
AUUUGAGUGAGUGGCGAACUGGUGAGUAACACGUGGGAAACCUGCCCAGAAGCGGGGGAUAACACCUGGAAACGCAGUCUUAUACCGCAUAACAACUUGGACCGCAUGGCCCGAGGUUGGAAGAUGGCUUCGGCUAUCACUUUUGGAUGGUCCCGCGGCGUAUUAGCUAGAUGGUGGGGUAACGGCUCACCAUGGCAAUGAUACGUAGCCGACCUGAGAGGGUAAUGGGCCACAUUGGGACUGAGACACGGCCCAAACUCCUACGGGAGGCAGCAGUAGGGAAUCUUCCACAAUGGACGAAAGUCUGAUGGAGCAACGCCGCGUGAGUGAAGAAGGGUUUCGGCUCGUAAAACUCUGUUGUUAAAGAAGAACAUAUCUGAGAGUAACUGUUCAGGUAUUGACGGUAUUUAACCAGAAAGCCACGGCUAACUACGUGCCAGCAGCCGCGGUAA